rnacentral:rRNA from 1 species
UUAAACUGAAGAGUUUGAUCCUGGCUCAGAACGAACGCUGGCGGCGUGCUUAACACAUGCAAGUCGUACGAGAAAGCUUACUUCGGUGAGCGAGUAAAGUGGCGCACGGGUGAGUAACACGUGGGUAACCUACCCUCCGAACUGGGAUAACAUCUCGAAAGAGGUGCUAAUACCGGAUACGUCCUUUUUUCCUUCGGGAGAAAAGGGGAAAGAUGGCCUCUGCUUGCAUGCUAUCAUCGGUGGAUGGGCCCGCGGGCCAUUAGCUUGUUGGUAGGGUAACGGCCUACCAAGGCUGCGAUGGCUAGCUGGUCUGAGAGGAUGAUCAGCCACACUGGAACUGGAACACGGUCCAGACUCCUACGGGAGGCAGCAGUGGGGAAUAUUGCGCAAUGGGGGAAACCCUGACGCAGCAACGCCG